GCACUUCUGAAGAGUCCCACAAUAGGACGAAACGGCCAUCCAGGAC
rnacentral:hammerhead_ribozyme from 1 species